UCCGGUGACUAGCCUACGUCGAAACACGCGUUCCCAUCCCGAACACGACCGUUAAGCGACGUAGGGCCGAUGAUAGUGCCGCAAGGUGCGAAAGUAGGUUCUCGCCGGAC
rnacentral:rRNA from 1 species